AUCGCUUCUCGGCCUUUUGGCUAAGAUCAAGUGUAAAUUCUGAUUUUUAAACUACAUGUUCACCAUAUUGCAGAUUCAACAAAUUAGGUUAUCAGAUUUUAUUUUUAUUUUUCGUUUGCUAUUUUACUUUUUUUUUUUAGAGACAGGGUCUGGCUCUGUUACCCAGGCUGAAGUCGCAGUGGUGAAAACCCAGC